rnacentral:rRNA from 1 species
CCUACGGGUGGCAGCAGUGGGGAAUAUUGGACAAUGGAGGAAACUCUUACCCAGCGACGCCGCGUGAAUGAAGAAGUAUUUCGGUAUGUAAAGCUCUAUCAUCGGGGACGAAAAAAAUGACGGUACCUAAGUAAUAAGCCCCGACUAACUACGUGCCAGCAGCCGCAGUAAUACGUAAGGGGGAAGCGUUGUUCGGAAUAGCUGGGCGUUAAGGGUAGGUAGGCGGUGAAGCCAGUUUGCAGUGAAAGAGCGAGGGCUUAACCCAGGGACUGCUUGUAAAACUGUUCGACUUGAGUGCAGUAGAGGAAAGUGGAAUUCCUAGUGUAGCGGUGGAAUGCGUAGAUAUUAGGAGGAACAUCAGUGGCGAAGGCGACUUGCUGGACUGUAACUGACGUUGAGGCACGAAAGUGUGGGGAGCAAACAGGAUUAGAUACCCCUGUAGUC